rnacentral:rRNA from 1 species
GACGUAGGGCGCAAGCGUUGUCCGGAAUGACUGGGCGUAAAGGGCGCGUAGGCGGAUGGCACAGUCAGAUGUGAAAUUCCCGGGCUUAACCUGGGGGCUGCAUUUGAUACGUGUGAUCUAGAGUGAGGAAGAGGGUCGUGGAAUUCCCAGUGUAGAGGUGAAAUUCGUAGAUAUUGGGAAGAACACCGGUGGCGAAGGCGGCGACCUGGUCCUUGACUGACGCUGAGGCGCGAAAGCGUGGGGAGCAAACAGG